rnacentral:rRNA from 1 species
GUAAACNNCAAGNUGCAAUAAAUUUUANGUAAAACCAAGUAAUGACCAUAUUCUUGUNGACUGGNCAUUNGCAGAANCCUNGACCGUNAGGGAGGGCGUAACCGCACAAGUUGAUNGAAUCGCCCUUGNUAACGCGCGGGCUUCCCCCAAUCGGUGAAAAUUUGGCUGGUGACCAAGUUUNAUGGUNAAGCUACUAAGGGCAUGCGGUGAAUNCCUUGCCACUAGAAGGCGAUGAAGGACGUGAAAAGCUGCGAUAAGCAACGGUGAGGAGCACUUAUCCAUUGACCCGUUGAUUUCNGAAUGGGGGAACCCUAUAUACUACUGCUUGAAUUCAUAGAGCAGAAAGAGCUAACCGAGGGAAGUGAACCAUCUCAGUACCUCGAGGAAGAGAAAAUAAUAAUGAUUCUGGGAGUAGCGGCGAGCGAAACCGGACCAGCCUAAACCGAUUGGGCUUGCUCAAUCGGGGUCGUGGGACCAGAUACAACGGAUCGAGAAAAUUAGCGGAAAGGUGUGGAAAAGCCUACCAUAGGGCGUGAUAGUCGCGUACGCGAAAAUUUUCAAAAUCUAUUCUGGCACCCGAGUAAUGCGGGACACGAGGAAUCUUGCAUGAAUUUGCCGGGACCAUCCGGUAAGGCUAAAUACUCUCUAGUGACCGAUAGUGAACCAGUACCGUGAGGGAAAGGUGAAAAGAACCCCGGUGAGGGGAGUGAAAUAGUACCUGAAACCGCAUGCUUACAAGCAGUCGGAGGUUCGUAAGGACUGACGGCGUGCCUUUUGCAUAAUGAGCCGGCUAGU